rnacentral:rRNA from 1 species
GACGAACGCUGGCGGCGUGCUUAACACAUGCAAGUCGAACGGAAAGGCCCUGCUUUUGUGGGGUGCUCGAGUGGCGAACGGGUGAGUAACACGUGAGUAACCUGCCCUUGACUUUGGGAUAACUUCAGGAAACUGGGGCUAAUACCGGAUAGGAGCUCCUGCUGCAUGGUGGGGGUUGGAAAGUUUCGGCGGUUGGGGAUGGACUCGCGGCUUAUCAGCUUGUUGGUGGGGUAGUGGCUUACCAAGGCUUUGACGGGUAGCCGGCCUGAGAGGGUGACCGGCCACAUUGGGACUGAGAUACGGCCCAGACUCCUACGGGAGGCAGCAGUGGGGAAUAUUGCACAAUGGGCGGAAGCCUGAUGCAGCAACGCCGCGUGCGGGAUGACGGCCUUCGGGUUGUAAACCGCUUUCGCCUGUGACGAAGCGUGAGUGACGGUAAUGGGUAAAGAAGCACCGGCUAACUACGUGCCAGCAGCCGCGGUGAUACGUAGGGUGCGAGCGUUGUCCGGAUUUAUUGGGCGUAAAGGGCUCGUAGGUGGUUGAUCGCGUCGGAAGUGUAAUCUUGGGGCUUAACCCUGAGCGUGCUUUCGAUACGGGUUGACUUGAGGGAGGUAGGGGAGAAUGGAAUUCCUGGUGGAGCGGUGGAAUGCGCAGAUAUCAGGAGGAACACCAGUGGCGAAGGCGGUUCUCUGGGCCUUUCCUGACGCUGAGGAGCGAAAGCGUGGGGAGCGAACAGGCUUAGAUACCCUGGUAGUCCACGCUGUAAACGGUGGGUACUAGGUGUGGGGUCCAUUCCACGGGUUCCGUGCCGUAGCUAACGCUUUAAGUACCCCGCCUGGGGAGUACGGCCGCAAGGCUAAAACUCAAAGGAAUUGACGGGGCCCCGCACAAGCGGCGGAGCAUGCGGAUUAAUUCGAUGCAACGCGUAGAACCUUACCUGGGUUUGACAUGGAUCGGGAGUGCCCAGAGAUGGGUGUGCCUCUUUUGGGGUCGGUUCACAGGUGGUGCAUGGCUGUCGUCAGCUCGUGUCGUGAGAUGUUGGGUUAAGUCCCGCAACGAGCGCAACCCUUGUUCACUGUUGCCAGCACGUUAUGGUGGGGACUCAGUGGAGACCGCCGGGGUCAACUCGGAGGAAGGUGGGGAUGACGUCAAGUCAUCAUGCCCCUUAUGUCCAGGGCUUCACGCAUGCUACAAUGGCUGGUACAGAGAGUGGCGAGCCUGUGAGGGUGAGCGAAUCUCGGAAAGCCGGUCUCAGUUCGGAUUGGGGUCUGCAACUCGACCUCAUGAAGUCGGAGUCGCUAGUAAUCGCAGAUCAGCAACGCUGCGGUGAAUACGUUCCCGGGGCU